rnacentral:rRNA from 1 species
AACGAACGCUGGCGGCAUGCCUAACACAUGCAAGUCGAACGAGACCUUCGGGUCUAGUGGCGCACGGGUGCGUAACGCGUGGGAACCUGCCCUUAGGUUCGGAAUAACUCCCCGAAAGGGGUGCUAAUACCGGAUAAUGUCUUCGGACCAAAGAUUUAUCGCCUUUGGAUGGGCCCGCGUUGGAUUAGCUAGUUGGUAGGGUAAAAGCCUACCAAGGCGACGAUCCAUAGCUGGUCUGAGAGGAUGAUCAGCCACACUGGGACUGAGACACGGCCCAGACUCCUACGGGAGGCAGCAGUGGGGAAUAUUGGACAAUGGGCGAAAGCCUGAUCCAGCAAUGCCGCGUGAGUGAUGAAGGCCUUAGGGUUGUAAAGCUCUUUUACCAGGGAUGAUAAUGACAGUACCGGGAGAAUAAGCGCCGGCUAACUCCGUG